GACGUAGGGCGCGAGCGUUGUCCGGAUUUAUUGGGCGUAAAGAGCUCGUAGGCGGCUUGUCGCGUCGUCCGUGAAAACCCACAGCUCAACUGUGGGCUUGCGGUCGAUACGGGCAGGCUAGAGUUCGGUAGGGGAGACUGGAAUUCCUGGUGUAGCGGUGAAAUGCGCAGAUAUCAGGAGGAACACCGGUGGCGAAGGCGGGUCUCUGGGACGAUACUGACGCUGAGGAGCGAAAGCGUGGGGAGCGAACAGG
rnacentral:rRNA from 1 species